rnacentral:tRNA from 1 species
GCUAAAGUAGCAAAGUGGGAAUGCGAGAAAUCUAAGGUUUCUUUAUCGGGGGUUCGAGUCCCCUCUUUGGUU